CCCUUAGAUGUCCUGGGCUGCACGCGCGCUACACUGGAAGUUACGGAUUGAGAUACUACCUUGUCCGAAAUGGUCCGGGUAAUCACCUAAAAGCUUGUCAUAAUUGGAAUGGAUUAUUGUAACUAGUAAUCCUGAACGAGGAAUUCCUAGUAAGUCCCAGUCAACAGCUGGUACUGAUUACGUCCCUGCCCUUUGUACACACCGCCCGUCGCUACUACUGAUUGGACGUUUAAGCAAGAUUUUUAAACACUGACAGUGUGUAGUUCACGCUACACUACAGUGAGAAGAAGAAGAUCGAGCUUACUUGUCUAGAGGAAGUAAAAGUCGUAACA
rnacentral:rRNA from 1 species